rnacentral:rRNA from 1 species
UGACCUCAAAUCAGGUAGGACUACCCGCUGAACUUAAGCAUAUCAAUAAGGCGGAGGAAUC